rnacentral:rRNA from 1 species
UACGAGUGCUCCAAGCGUUAUCCGGAAUUAUUGGGCGUAAAGGGUGUGUAGGUUGACCUGUUAGUCAGAUGUUAAAACUUCCCGCUUAACGGGAAAAGGGCAUUUGAAACGGCAGGACUAGAGGAUGCGAGAGGUGAACAGAACUCAUGGCGUAGGGGUGAAAUCCGUUGAUAUCAUGGGGAAUACCAAAUGCGAAGGCAGUUCACUGGCGCACGCCUGACACUGAAACACGAAAGCGUGGGUAGCGAACUGG